CGUAGGUGGCAAGCGUUGUCCGGAUUUAUUGGGCGUAAAAGCGAGCGCAGGCGGAUUGAUAAGUCUGAUGUGAAAAGCCUUCGGCUCAACCGAAGAAACUGCAUCAGAAAACUGUCAAAUCUUGAGUGCAGAAGAGGAGAGUGGAACUCCAUGUGUAGCGGUGGAAUGCGUAGAUAUAUGGAAGAACACCAGUGGCGAAGGCGGCUCUCUGGUCUGUAACUGACGCUGAGGCUCGAAAAGCAUGGGUAGCGAACAGGAUU
rnacentral:rRNA from 1 species